GCUUCCAAAGUUGGUUGGUUUGGCUCAGAAAGGUGAAGGUAGACAGUUAGUGGGAUUGGGAUGGAGGACAUGCUCUUCCUGUCCUUUAGGACUUUCUAGUCCCUGUAGGGUUGAUGCUAGGGGUGCCAUAUGGCAGUCCCAUCAGCAGCUCAGCAUUCAGGGCAAGUCACUCUUGGGCAAGACACUGAACUUCUCUGGGCUUCAGUUUCCAUAUCUUUUGUCCAACAGGCACAAUGUCUGACCUUCCUAGAGUUUCCCAGAGCCUAUUUGCAUAUUGAGAGAUGCUAGGUGUGAAGCAGUUAUGAGGGGUGUGGACUGGAAGAAACGUUCAUUUGGUGCUGUCUUAGGACACCUAGUUAAAUUUUACUGGCCUGUUUUUUGUUUUAUUUUAGAAUGAUUGAUGUAAUUGAAUUAAUUAUUAUUAUUUUUAAUUUGCACAUGCACUCAUCAAAGAGAGAAAGAGAGGGAACGCCAGAAAGCAAGAUGCCAGGUCCAGGACUUGAACUGCAGUCAGCCGUGUGGGAGUCCAGUGAUUUAGCCACAAUGCCACCAGCUGACUUGGGCCUGUUUGUUUUAACCUGAAAGGGAACUAGUUACAGGUAGAAUGAAGGGCCGGAAGCAUGUGCCAGUGUUGUGAUUGGGACUGCGGUGAACUUCUGGGCAGCUGGGGAACAGUUACUGAGGGGGUGGUGCUGAGAUGGUGGUUUGGGCCAGGACUUUUCUAGUUGUGUUGGUUAUGUUUCUUUUGAUUUUAAGAAUUUAGUGAAGUCUGGUUAAGCAAGAGGUGGGAUUUAUGGAAAAGAUUGCAGGGUUCCUCAGGGGCCACAAAGGGAGGAAAUGGAGCUAGGGCUUAGGAGAAGUUGAACCAAGAACUGGAAACCUGUAUUUAUCAAAAUCCCAGCUAGCUUCUAUGUAGAGACUUGUAAAUUGAUCCCCAAAUUCAUAUGAAAAUUCAAGGAUAAUCUUGAAAAAGAAGAAUAAAGUUGGAGGACUAUACUUCGCAAUUUCAAAACUUACUACAAAGCUAUAGUCAGUGUGGUAUUGGCAUAAAGACAGACACAUAGAUCUAUGGAAUAGAAUUCAAACAUAAAGUCUCACAUUUAUAGUCAAAUGAUUUUCAGUGAGGGUGCUGAGACAAUUAAAUAAAAAAAAAAGCAUUUUUUUCAGCAAAUGAUGCAGGAAGAACUUGAUAUCCACAAGCAAAAGAAUGAAAUCAGAUCCUUCUCUCAUACCAUAUACAACAAUUAACUCAAAAUGGAUGAAAGACCUAAAUGUAAGAGCUAAAACUACAAAGCUUUUAGAAGAAAACAUAGGUGUAAAUGUUUGUUACCUUGGAUAAGGCAAUAGUUUCUCAGAAAUGACACCAAAAGUGCAAGUAACAACAAUUAAAAAAAAAGAUAAAUUCAACUUCAUAAUCAAAAACUUUCACACUACAAAGAACAUCACUAUCGGGAAAAUGGAAAUACAGGGGGUGGAUGGUGGCACAGUGGUAGAACCUAGUGCGUUGUGUGGCCAACCCAUAGGGGGAAGCUACUGUUUAUGUCUGGAUGAUGGGCAAGUGGGUAUUUGUAACCUGCACUAACUGAAGCUGGGGGCUCUUUUUGUCUCUUUCUCUGUCUCUCUCACUCAUGAAAUAAAUAAAUAAAUAAACUUAAAAAAAAAAAAAAAAAA